rnacentral:lncRNA from 1 species
GAGUCUUGUUUUAUCCUCAGCACAUUAAAAGCAGAAAGCAAUGAUGGCUACCACAUCAUCCUGAAGUGUGGACUCUGAGCAGCAGCGCCUGCACCUGUCCCCUGCCCCAUGGAUCCCUGGCUGUGAAAGGUGCACCACUGUCAGCUGCUGUCUCACCUGACAAGCUCAGACUAGGAGGGACUCUACCCAGACCAGGAAAGCUACAGACAACCAUGGACACAAAGUCUGGUGUACAGAAGAAAGCCAGCGGUUCCCUUCUCCUUUCCUCUUGGCUUUUAGGUUUUUAAGUUUCUUGUUCUGUUUCCUGGGCAGAUAGUGGGGAUGUGCAUCUCUUAAACUCUGAGCCCUGCAGUUGGAGGGUCCUUUGAUGUAUUGGUCCUUCCUGUCUCCUCUCUUAUGUCACCCUGAUUCCUGCUUCUUUUUCUUGAGUCACUGGCUUCAUGGCUAGCUCUGCCAAUCUCACAAGGGCUCCACACACAGUUCUCCUCCUAAUACUGACUUCCUUUCUCAGGACCCUGGUAGCCAUGUCUCUCCUGUUCUUGGAUGACUUGAUAAGACUGGAGCUAUUUAUUUGUGCCUUCCAUUUCUUUCUCAGUCGCCUUGUCUCUAAGGAUCUGCUACAUUCAAGCCCAGAGUCUCUGCAUUGACAUGGUAGAUGGCACAGUGUACCUAUGUGACCUCUCAUUGUGUAUUAGUUCCUUUUCUGUUGCUGUGAUAAGAUACUCUGACAAAGGCAACUUGAUAAAGAAAGGGCUUGUUUUGGCUUAGAGUUUUGUAGGGAUUAUGGUGGAUAUUAUGGUGAGGAAGGUGCCAAACAGAAAGCUAGCUGAUCUCAUUUUCAUACACGUAGGAAGCAGCACAGAGAGAAAGAGCAAGAGCAGGAAAUGGUACAAGCCUUCAAGGACCACCAACCCCAGUGACUUACUUCCUCCAGCAAGACUGCAUCCUCUAAAAGCCCCAUAACCUCAGCAGACUACAUCACCAACUGGGACCACGUGUUCAAAUACAUAAGCCCAUGGGAUACAUUUCUCAUUCAAGCCACACAUUUUGCCCAUGUGACCUCCCACAUUUUCUAGUUAGAGAUGCUAUGGACUAGGAGAUGACAUGUGACUUCCUCACCAGGGAAGAGAGGUGAGGACAGAAUGAUUCCUCAUGGACCACUACUGUGUAUUCUCAUUUCUGUUGAGCAAAGAGUACUAAGAGGUGAAGAUUCUGUUAUCCAGUGGCCUUGACCAUCCAUUCUAGACAUUUGGGUUGGGGUAUGUCUCAGUAGAUCCCUCCCUGGCAAGUAUGAGGCCCUGGGCACCAUCCCAGCGCUACAGCAGGAGGUACUUACUGAAUUCUCUUUUUCAGACAACCUCAGCUAACCACUGCUGUUUGCCAAGUGGCCCAGGGGUAGUAUGGUGUUUUUUUCAUUGCUCAUUUAAGAUUCUAUCAUAGGUAUAUAGAUAGGUGCUUUGUCUUUGUUGGCAUGGUUGAAUUGUUCACUUUUUUUGUUUGUUUUGUUUUUUUCAAGACAGGGUUUCUUUGUUAGCCCUGGCUAUCCUGGAACUCACUCUGUAGACCAAGCUGGCCUCGAAAUCCGCCUGCCUCGGCCUCCCAAGUGCUGGGAUUAAAGGAAUGUGCCACCACUGCCUGGCUUGUUCACCUUUCUUAACUCUGGGGGAAUUUGAGGAUCAGUAGCUAUGGUAGACUUAAUUCAUCUUUAUUAUGCCCACCCAGUGCUUCAACUCUUUCCUAAUCCUCAAGCCAUAGUGAGUUACUUCUAAGCUCAAAGAUUUGCCAAAGGUUUUGGCAAAUAUUAUUUUACAGGCAGAAAAACUACUCUCACAGGAAAGAUGAGCUCUCAGUUCCUUGUCUUUUGAGACAUGUGGGUGGGGUUGACAGCUUUAUUGAGAUGUUGGUGUCGUGAAUAUAUUGGCACAGGCUUUCUGUGGACAGGGUUUCAUUUUGGGAAUGUGCCUGGUAGAAUGGACAGCUCAUAAGGUAACUUUUCACCGGUUUGAGAAACUGCCCAGUGUUUCCCACGCAGCUACACGUGUUUGUAUUACCACCAGCAAUGGAGGAUGGUUCUAGUUUCUCCACCUCCUCAUCAACAUUUGCUGUGAUUUCUCAUUCUUGCCCGCCUGUCCUCUCUCCCUCCCCCUUCUUCUUCCGUAUAGUCCAGCCUGGCCUCGAAGUCACUAAGUAGAAGAGGAAAAUUGAACUUCUGAUCUUCCUGACUCUGCUUCUUAAAUGCUAACAACAUAGAAAAGUACCUCCACACCUAAUGUAUGCGGUGCUGGGACAAAAUCCAGGGCUUUGUGCUUGCUAGGCAAGAGCUCUCUCUACCAGCUGAGCCACCUCCCUAGUGGUGACCUGUCUUUUAUUACAAUAUCCUGCUGGUGUCAUGCAUGUCUCUGGCUAAUGAUGUUCAAUGUCUCUUCACAUUGAUUGGCCAUUUGUAUAUCUUUGGGAAAAUGUCUGGUUAUGUCUUGCCUGUUUUUAAAUUGGGCUCUCUUCAUUGAAUUGUACAAGUUGUUGAUGAAAAUCCUUCAUCAGUUUUUCUCCAUUCUGCUCCAUUCUGUAGGCUGUCUUCACCCUCUUAAUGGUUGAUGCUCCUUGGGGUGUACAUGUUUCUAAAUUGGUUGUGCUUAGUAGUAUGAACCAGCACUCCCAGUACUCAGCUGAGGCUCCCGAGGCCAGCCCAACCUACAUAGUAAGACCCAGUCUCAGAAACAAUUGUCAUCAUUAUUUUAAUGUGUGUGAUGCCUGAGUUACCUUCUGCUGAUUGUAGUUUUGAUGUGGAUACUAAGAAACCAUGACCUAAUGCAAACUCAGGAAAAUCUGUGUUUUCUCCUUAGAAUUAAAAACGCUGUUUAUUU